AACGUAGGGGGCAAGCGUUGUCCGGAAUUACUGGGCGUAAAGGGUGCGUAGGCGGCCGUUUAAGUCCUGUGUGAAAGACCUCGGCUUAACCGGGGGGAGUCAUGGGAAACUGGACGGCUUGAGUGCCGGAGAGGGUGGCGGAAUUCCCGGUGUAGCGGUGAAAUGCGUAGAGAUCGGGAGGAACACCAGUGGCGAAGGCGGCCACCUGGACGGUAACUGACGCUGAGGCACGACAGCUGGGGGAGCAAAC
rnacentral:rRNA from 1 species